rnacentral:lncRNA from 1 species
GCAGCAGCUAAAGCAGCAGCUAGCAGCAGCAGCCUGCUGCAAGCUGAGCUGCAGGGGCAGCAAGAAAAGAAAGAAAAGAAAAGAAAGAAAGGAAAGAAAGAAAGAUAGAAAGGAAGAAAGAGAAGAAAGAAAAGAAAGAGAAGAAAGAAAAGAAUGCAUUAUGAAUAUAUGAUAUAUGAAUGCAUUAUGAUCAAUGCUAGAUGAUGUAUAAUGAUAAUCCGAUGAUGAACAUGCUAGAGGCAUAUGAAUAUGUUGUAGAUCAUGCUAGAUACAUAUAAUUGUCGAUAUGUGAACGUGAAAGUUAAAUGCAUAAUUAUGCUAAAUUCAUAUGUUCAAAUACAUGAUAUAUCAAUGUUGAACCUGUAAAUGCCAAGGGCACGGCACGUAAGCUGAAUACGAAUUGUGAACAUAGAAGCUAAAGCCUACAUAAGUGUUGCCACAUAAAAGUGGAAGUUUAAUGCCUAUGUCUAAACAUAUAUAUAAGUGAAUGUAUUAUAGUUCAAGCUAUAUGAAUGUCGAUAAUUCUAAUUGACUGGAAACCUCGAUGGUAACAAGAUGAGUGAGAAUAUGAAAACUAUGAACCUCAUGUUAAAUCCCUAAGAAUUGGGUAUAAAUCGACAACUCCAGUUAAGUAGAAAUCUUGACGGUGACAAAGUAAAUGAAAAUGUGCAAAUUAUAAUCCUAGGCGUAGAUAACUAGAAUAAUAAAUAGAUCGAGUGGCAUGAACCUAAUGUAUAAACAUAGGUCGAACAUGAACCUAGUGUCAUUGGACAUAGGUCAAGUAAGUAAACCUAGAGUUGAGAUCUAGGUGAAAUAACAUAGAACCUAGUGUGAUUGGAUACCUAGGUCGUGACAUAUUGUAACACUUAGUAAAAUUGGACUAAGUUAUGCAGUAUAGUGGUAGAAAGACCACAUAAAGAUGAUUGAUAUUUUAGACCUAGAAAGGUUUGCAAAUAGGGUCAAAGAGUAAACCCUUAAGUUAUAUGAAAGGAUCCCGGAAUCUCAAGAUCUUGUGAAAACUUGGUAUUCAUGGCUAGGGCAAGUGUGGUCGACGAUUUUCGCCGCCUGCAAAGGGUUGAAUACCAAGGGCGGAAUUGGGUGUGUGCGACCGCAUUUCGCCGCCCAGGCGGGCUGACGCAUUGUUUCGGCGUGUGCGACGAUUUCGGCCGCAGAUGUUAAGCUAAGUUUGUGGAUCCUACCGCCUUGUGACUGAAACCACACUGUCGUGGCGUUGCGACGAAUUUCCGCCGCCGGGGUUGGCUAAGUCAAACUAGGCCGUUGUUGGUGAUGGUGCAUCCGUGUCGCCGCCAAAACGGCUAUGGACAAGGAGUAUUGUGAUGCUUUGCCCAGCUGAGGUGCAUGUGAGAGUUCCUUCACCUCGAGCUAGACAGUGCGCGACUAUCCGCGAUUGAUGACUCAAGACCGAGUCGGGUGGCUAGAAUGACUAAGGUAAAGUAAUCUCUUAGGAAAAUCGCCAGUGAGCAGCGAUAUGAUAGAGAUAAAGAAUAAGAAAAGAAACUAAUGAAUCGUAAAUGCUAAUAAAGACGGCUACAAGCUAAAGAAUGGUUAAAGAUAUAAAGUUUUAAAAGGACCCUUUUCGGUAAAUCUACUUGUUACAUAGUUUGCAUGGAUUACAUAUUGCAUAUCGCAGAGCGAAGGUAAUGGUUUAUUAAAAUUGUAUCACUCGAAUAUCUAUCUAUCAUGUUCCGUUUAUCUAACGGCUGCAGUUUGCUCUUUGGAACCUGGUGGUUCGAGCUCUUUUCUUGGGUGCCGUCACCACUGGGAAUCAACCUUUCCUAUUAUUCUCAAACCCCCUGUGUUGUUUUGGGGGUACAGUCUCGCACCUGGUGGAGCGGGCGCGGGGCGCGAGGACAGGCGUAUGCUUUCGUAAUAGCGGCCCUAUCACCGAGACAAGAUAGUAGUACCCUGAAAGCGUUCUAGCUCAGAGUUCAGUAUAAAGAAACAAACUUGUAAUCGAAUUUGUAUAAAUUGUAUAAGUAUUAAAAUUGUAUAAAGGCUUAUGUAAAAUUCUUAAAGACUGAAUGAAAUUUUUCUAACUUCUGUAAAUUGUGAGAUGAUGCUUUGUAAUAGCUUAGUUAGCCUUUUAAUGUUUUUGAUACUUAUGCAAUCUACAUACUGCUCACCUUUCCUUGUUGGACCUCUCUGUUUGCAAUUUUUAGAUUGGUUAACCCUACAACGUGACAGGCAAAAGGCUCUGUCCGUUCGGCGUCUGUCCGACUAGGGCCAAUCCGACCAAAUUGCAGGACCUCGGACGUGACAGAUUAAGGUGGCUAUCAGAGGCAUAAAGUAGAGAAUGAGAAAAUAUUUUAGACUGACUUUUAGAGAAACGCUAGAUAGUAAAACCAAAUAGAGAAUAAGGUUCCGUGAGAGGCGAGACUUAUGAUUUAGUGUGCGAAACUUAACUGAUUGGGUUUGUCGUAAAACCUUAACGACGGACUAUUAGGGGUAGACUUGAAGGUGUGUUAUUCCAGCUCCGAAGGAAUUUUUCAUCCGUUGGCCGUACCGACACAUGAACCGAGUGAAUUGAAUAAACCCCUGCGUGACCUUUCGCCUGAUUGGCUUUUGAGCCGUUGUUUAGUGGUCUCGGCUUUUAAAGCAUCUGAGGGUCGAGAACUAUAAUCGUGUCCGUUGUUUUAGGAAUCGAUGCACGCGUAGGCGAUCUCGUCAGAUCGGACGGGAAGGACCCAAUGGUGUCCAUCCUGAGCAUCCCGACGUGAGCAGAGACUUCAGAGCUCGUGACAGUUGGCCCACACUCAGAGUGUUGAGAGCAACAGGCUGAUUAGUGCAGCGUCAGCAGGAGCUCCCUGCAUCAACGAAAGCGGAUUCAAGAGAGCUCCAGGAACACUGGUGGACUAGUUUAGUGACGCGCAACAGUUUCGACUCGUCGUCGUACCGGCCAGGAGUCGCGGCGGAUACAUUAUCCAGUCCGGGUCGAGCAUCCGACUGCUGUUAGGUUUCAGAGAUGGAAGCGAAAGGGAGCGUGCUUUGGCGGCUCUCAUGACCUCAGAAGUUUGAUACCUCCUACUUUCGAAUGGAAGGUAACAUAGACCUCAUGGACCGUAGAUUGGGAUCGACUCCAUGAGAGACUUUGUUUUGAGGAUCUUUCAUCUAUGGAGCGAUGACAAAAGUAACAGCUACCGUGCAUUGUUUGCAACGGUCAGAACCGAAGGUGUGGUGAAAGACAAUCAAACGGAUAUCGAUCGCCUAGUCUUCCUUCUAUGGUUUGGGAAGAGUUCGGGAAUUCAAUGCGUUCAAUUAAUUUCUCCGAUAGCUGAACAAAGAACACGCUUCAAGAACAGGUUUCAGAACUCACGAAAGGAGAAACGCCUCUGUGAGGGAAUACGACGGCGAGUUUCCCGUAUCGUGAGCUGUUGUGUCCCCGAAUGUGGUACCAGAUGACAAGAGAUCGACUGAUUUGUUUUUCUGUAACGAGGCACUUGCGGCCUGAUGAUUUUUGAAGCAGUAUAAUCCAAGUUCAGACCUUUUGCUCGAAUCGUGGAUCGUGGCCCUAUGGAUAAAACCAAGCAUGCAUCUGGUGCGGCAGGACGGCGAAUCGUAUUAGCAAGAAAAAAGGAAAGAACGGCCAGCAAGUGGGUAGAUGGUCAGUCAGUUCUCAGCAGACCAGUUAAGUGAGUUUCGCCUCUAGCGAUCGCCUGAGCUCGCGGACUAUCGCAGUCGGGCUCUGCGGUCCUGUGUGAUUAUUUGUGGGCUCCUUACUACCACAAGCAGUGUUAAGCAAUGAAUGGCAAUGCUUCAGGUGUGGCAGUCCGGUCAUUUGCGCUGAGACGCGUGUCCGUAGGGCGCUUAUCCUAGCCCUGACGAAUGGCGAACGGGCAUUCAUUCCUCUCUGCGGACAGUCUGGAGUGUGUCACCUGCGGCACGGGUUGGAGUAGACGACCAGAGGAUUAAGGCAAACCCGAUGGGGGUUCGCGACAGGAAGCAAUGGUCGUUGAUAGGCGAUCCAUAAUGGAUGGAACUUGCUGCCGACUGGAGUCAUUGUGGCAUUAUGAGUUAAUGUACAGCAAGUAUGUCUCCUGCAUUUAAUGUUAAAUUUAGUGCCAUUGAUGCAUUGGUUAAUUAGCGUAGUUGUUACUGCUAAAUGUGCGGUAACGUAUCACAAGAGACCAAGCAGAUAGGUAACAUAUCCCAUUAUGCUUGUGAUGGGGGAACGUAAUAACCUGUUGAGUGCAGUAAGAGUUUACGAGGCACUACAGCAACUCGCUGGUGAUAGCUUGUGAAUAAAGAGUGGAACUCCGGUAACAAGGUCAAUGUUGACGCAAUCUCUCAACUAAUGCGCGAGUUGACUGAUUGCGAGAGUCUACGUCGGAACUGUUCGUGGAACUCUGGCUGAGAUCGAAUCGUUUUGCAGAUUGUUCGCGAUAGAUCGAAAACAUGAAAGUAGACAUCAAACUGGUGUGAUGAAAUGCUCGGUCACCCCCCCCAUUGGCAGCGUGCGUGCACGCGACCUAUAGUACUUCGAUUGAGGUAAAGGCGUCGUGCUCGGUGUAAUCGCUGGCAAUAGCAAGAUUGCCUAUGCUAGACCUUAGUAUGCACGGCGAUAGAGUCGUGUAGAGCGCAUCGAGUAUAGUACUCGUAGAGUGCUGAUUUAAUUCAGGGUGCCGUGAUGUGCUGGCAAUAAGCAGCUCUUAGCAUUGCUAGGUUGCAAGCACGCCCAUGAUCACGUCGUAGGGCAUGGUGGCUCGCACUAACGUUGCUUAUGAUCGAUAAGUGGUAGCGUGUACUCUGUAAGAGCAUGCCGUGUAGGACGAGCGACGGCCGGGUAGUGUUGUGACUGAUCCGUGCCAAGGACCCUCGUGUGGAUUGUGGAUCCUGGGCCCUUGGGCAGCGCAGUACUGCGAAGGCAGCGGCCGCGGAUACUUACGGGUGGCGAGAUUUUGGUCAGCGACGGGUAGUUCGAAGUCAUAGACUGCAGUCACGUGGAAUGCCACGUGUUCGAUUCGGAAAUCGAUGAUGCAGCUGAGAGUGCGGUUGUGACCCAACCCAGGCCUUGGCGUGGUUUGUCUUGUGCUCCCGAUUGUAGCAGAUAUGGCGAUUAUCUCAAAUGAAACGGUGUCUCGUGAUAAAAUGGGUUCUAUACGCCUUGCGAGCGAGGGACACUUUGAUUAAGUGAUAGGAUCUAGGCAAUCCGCGCGACCAAUUUGCGACAAAUCUGUGGUAAUUGAAGACAGUAAUUACCACAUGUGCAUCUGAAGUGAGUGUUCGAACAUAGUCCAAAAGUAAAGGAAGUGUAUAGGGACCGUGAGAGCGCAAGGCUCGGUCCUCGUGAAUAUUUAGUCAGAAUUGCACAGAUAAGCAUCUGAACUGACAGCUGGAUUGAAACGCGAAUAAAGGGUUCGUAUAGACUGAUUAGGCAGGAUCAUGGUAGCAAGAAUGAAAUUGCAGAAGCUACGAAAUGAUAUGAUUUUACCAUGUUGAUGAUUGUUGGAUAUCUUAUCUCGGCCUCCGUUAGGGUAAAUAGAAGAAUAUGUACUAAGUUUCGCAAGGACGAAACUUUUGUUAACGGGAGCAGAUCUUGUAUAUAUAUGGAACCUUGAUUGCGAUGCUAACUUGAUCCUAGGGGAUCAAAGGAAGAUUGCGGCUGGUUGGACCCUCAUCCCGAUGUGAUUUUGGACGCGUGAGAAUGAUUUCGGAGAUUAAUAAGUGUUUCGGCGCAAAUUGGGUGCGAAGCGAAAUUAUAAAGAAAAUUGCGGAUUUCCGACUGCUAAACUUUUGAUUAAAGAUAAAGGAGCAAAAGUAAUAUAAAAUCGUAUGAUAUCACCAUUUGAUUGGAUUAAGGGUGUAAAACAUAAGUCUGGAAUGAACUCGUGUUGAAACGGAUAGCGAAAACCAGAAGAUUUAUGAUUUUGUAAGAACGGACUUGAGCAAUUAGCAGAAAAUUGCGACAUGUCAAAAAUUAUGAAAAUUGGGCAGACGAUGUUCAGGAAUUUUUUAUGAGCUAUAGUUUGAAGUUUCAGAUUAUUUCUGACACCCGACGAGAGAAAUUGAUCCGAAAGCUAUCGUGAUAAAGAUUCAGUCGGUACAGUUCGGCACAUGACCAAAACGGGUCCGGAACUGAAUGUUAAAAUUUUUUUGGACUUGUUUAAGUAAAACCGACAUGCCUGUCAAAAUUUGAGCUCAAUCGACAAUUUGAAGACGGAAGUAAUUUGAAAUCCCGUUCCUAAGUUGUAAUACUCGAGGCAAAAUGGUAAUAUCCUAAGGCUUAGUGGAAUUUCCACUAAACCUGCCAGGCAGCCCCUCCACUCCUAUCCUUCACCUGCCAUAUUAGAGAGAGAAGAGAGGGACAGAGGAAGAGCAAGAAGAAAAGAGAAGAAAAGAAGAAAAAAAGAAGAAGAAAGAAAGAAAAAGAAAGGAAAGAAAAGAAAGAAAGAAAGGAAAAUAAGAAAAAAAAGAAAAGAACGAGAAGAUGGAACUGAAAUAAAAUGAAUUGCUCGCUAGUUUGAUUUUUGACGCUCCGACGAAUCGCACUUUUGCAGGAUAAAGGUCCUACCUGUAAAUUGAACUAUGUACAAACCUAAUUGAAGGUAAAAGCAACGCGUUGGCGAAGUCCGUCGGCAAAUCCGUCGAGCCUUAUGCAAAGAUAUUCGCAAAAGAAACAUUUUCGCGCCCAAUUGUCGGAGCGGCGGUCGCGACUCGUUCGGAAAAGUGCGAGAAAGUGAUUCUCGCAAUUCCGUCAUCAAAGUAAGGUGGUGGCUUUCCCGAAGUGAUUACGGUUCCUUCCUGCCAAAGAAAAUAUGGUUUUCAUAUGCGCUAUAUGACUAUGAUUUCGACAUCAUGGACUAAUGGUCUAAUAUAUAUGUAUAUGAAUAGCUACAUUGAUAAAUGGAAUAUAUGAGCAAUUAUGAUCAAUACUAAUGAUGUAUAAUAUAAUCCGAUGAGAACAUGCUAUAGGCAUAUGNNNNNNNNNNNNNNNNNNNNNNNNNCAGUACCAAGUAAAGGUGGGUUGUGCUUUACCGAAGUGAUUAGGUCACUUCCAUGCCAAAGUAAAAUAUGGUUUCAUUUGACGCAUAUAUGACUAUGAUUGUCGACAUAUGGACGUAAUGCUAAUAUAUAUGUAUAUGAAUAGGCAUACAUGAUUGAUGAUAUAUGAAUGCAUUAUGAUCAAUGCUAGAUGAUGUAUAAUGAUAAUCCGAUGAUGAACAUGCUAGAGGCAUAUGAAUAUGUUGUAGAUCAUGCUAGAUACAUAUAAUUGUCGAUAUGUGAACGUGAAAGUUAAAUGCAUAAUUAUGCUAAAUUCAUAUGUUCAAAUACAUGAUAUAUCAAUGUUGAACCUGUAAAUGCCAAGGGCAUGGCACGUAAGCUGAAUACGAAUUGUGAACAUAGAAGCUAAAGCCUACAUAAGUGUUGCCACAUAAAAGUGGAAGUUUAAUGCCUAUGUCUAAACAUAUAUAUAAGUGAAUGUAUUAUAGUUCAAGCUAUAUGAAUGUCGAUAAUUCUAAUUGACUGGAAAUCUCGAUGGUAACAAGAUGAGUGAGAAUAUGAAAACUAUGAACCUCAUGUUAAAUCCCUAAGAAUUGGGUAUAAAUCGACAACUCCAGUUGAGUAGAAAUCUUGACGGUGACAAAGUAAAUGAAAAUGUGCAAAUUAUAAUCCUAGGCGUAGAUAACUAGGAUAAUA